GACGAACGCUGGCGGCGUGCUUAACACAUGCAAGUCGAACGGAAAGGCCCUGCUUGCAGGGUGCUCGAGUGGCGAACGGGUGAGUAACACGUGGGUGAUCUGCCCCUUACUUUGGGUUAAGCCUGGGAAACUGGGUCUAAUACUGGAUAGGACCAUGCUGUAGGUGGUGUGGUGGAAAGAUUAGUUUCGGUAAGGGAUGAGCUCGCGGCCUAUCAGCUUGUUGGUGGGGUAAUGGCCUACCAAGGCGUCGACGGGUAGCCGGCCUGAGAGGGUGGACGGCCACAUUGGGACUGAGAUGCGGCCCAGACUCCUACGGGAGGCAGCAGAGGGGAAUAUUGCACAAUGGGCGCAAGCCUGAUGCAGCGACGCCGCGUGGGGGAUGACGGCCUUCGGGUUGUAAACUCCUUUCAGCCAUGACGAAGCCCUUGUGGUGACGGUAGUGGUAGAAGAAGCACCGGCUAACUACGUG
rnacentral:rRNA from 1 species